UGCGCUCUCCUCGCCUGUGCCUCCCAAAACCAAUCUUUACACCAGAAUUGAUGUCAUCUCAAAACCUUUUUCAAAUCUAUCAAUCAUAUCUUAUCGGACCAAAGAAAAUUAACUCUCCCCAAAUCGACUAUUUCUAGGGUUUCUGGGUUCGAUCAAACAUCUCUAAUUGUAGAGAAAGAGGACGAAAGGAAUAUGCUUUAGCUGGCGUCGCCCAUAAUGUCAUUUCUCUGGGUCCUCAUUACUGAGAGAAAAGAACAUGAAACUGCGUUAUGCAAAUCAAGGGCACCGAAGGCUGUGAAAAAGAAAUCCUCAUCUCAAAAUCAAUCAAUCGUCAAGGUAUGGUUUUAAUCAUUCUCCUAGACCACAAUUCAGCGCUUUCAGAAUUCUACAUAAUUGUUUAGAGGUUCGAUGCCAGUUAUAAGGGACGUCCUGUAUGAUGAUGCUGCACUUUAUGGGGCUGGGAUAUUUGAUGGAGGAAACAAGCACCAUUCAGUGGCAGUCCGUCAAUUCAACAGCAAUGAAGUUUUCACCAGCAUAGAAGAACCAUCACCAUCAGAUGAACCAACUUCAAGACCUCAUGUGAAAUAUUGGUUCUAAUUUAGAAUGUACAAUAUUUUGCUAAGAACCAACUACUUUUGUACUCUAUUAUAACAACAUCUUUGGUUAGAAUCCCAUUUUGUUGAAAAUGUAAAUAUUUUAAGUGCAGAAGCUUGGUUAAAAUACUAAUUUCUGCUCAAAACUUCCGACUUUUUGAAAUAUGUAUGUAUACCAGUUUGGUUAAAACACAAGCUUUUAUAAUGUAACCAGUUUGGUUGCAUUAUGAUUAUUACCCACAUGAACUUCUUG